rnacentral:rRNA from 1 species
GACAGAGGGGGCUAGCGUUGUUCGGAAUCACUGGGCGUAAAGGGCGCGUAGGCGGCUAUGUAAGUCAGAGGUGAAAGCCUGGAGCUUAACUCCAGAAUUGCCUUUGAUACUGCUUAGCUUGAGUUCGGAAGAGGGUGGUGGAAUUCCUAGUGUAGAGGUGAAAUUCGUAGAUAUUAGGAGGAACACCAAUGGCGAAGGCAGCCACCUGGUCCGAUACUGACGCUGAGGCGCGAAAGCGUGGGGAGCAAACAGG